CCUUCGAUAGCUCAGUUGGUAGAGCGGAGGACUGUAGAUCCUUAGGUCGCUGGCUCAAAGGA
rnacentral:tRNA from 1 species